AUUGAACGCUGGCGGCAUGCCUUACACAUGCAAGUCGAACGGCAGCACGGGAGCAAUCCUGGUGGCGAGUGGCGAACGGGUGAGUAAUAUAUCGGAACGUGCCCAGUAGUGGGGGAGUACUGCUCGAAAGAGCAGCUAAUACCGCCUACGACCGGAGGGUGAAUGGGGGGGAUUGCAAGACCUCUCGCGAUUGGAGCGGCCGAAAUCAGAUGCGGUCGUUGGUGGGGUAAAGGCCUACCCAGGCAACGAUCUGUAGUUGGUCUGAGAUGACGACCAGCCACACUGGGACUGAGACACGGCCCAGACUCCUACGGGAGGCAGCAGUGGGGAAUUUUGGACAAUGGGCGCAAGCCUGAUCCAGCAAUGCCGCGUGCAGGAAGAAGGCCUUCGGGUUGUAAACUGCUUUUGUCAGGGAAGAAAUCCUCUAGGUUAAUACCCUUGGGGGGAUGACAGUACCUGAAGAAUAAGCACCGGCUAACUACGUGCCAGCAGCCGCAGUAACAC
rnacentral:rRNA from 1 species